GGUUGAGAAUAAUUGUAUGAAUUGAAAAGGUUCAAGUUUGGGGUUGUUUGGGGGAAAAGGCGAAAGAAAAUUAUUGAGCUCAAGAGUUGAAAAAGAAAAAUGCAUGAGAAAAGAAAAAGAAGAAAAGAAAAAGCAUGAAAGAUGAGCUCAAUAAAAAGAAAAGGGGAGAAGUUGGGAAUGAGUGAGAUUGGUGAAAAAGAGAGUUUGUACUUGAACUUUGAAUGUUAAAAUAGCUCUCUUGACUCAAGGAUUUUGUGAUAUAGAAAAACAAAAUUUUCUUGUUAACCCAUGAUAGCUCCAUCCUUGAGCUAUGUUUCAGAUCCGUGAGCUUCCAAGGCAAAGAACAACAGCAGCGGAUGAAGAUGGCUUCACGGAGGCUAUUGGCAGAGGCAGAGUUUUUGGUGGAGAGAAUACUAGCUCAGGAGGCCUUCCAUUGGAAGGAAGCUAGUUGGAGAAAUGGAAGAAACUCAAUGAAGGACUUUCGGUAGAGAUUUCAAGUUGCUGGAAUUAUCAUCAGCAGAAGAGAAAACUCAUAGUAUUUCCAAAAGUGUAUUACAAUGAGUGCAACCAUGGAUUUAUAGAUGUAUCCAUGAGUCUGCAACGUGAUCUAAAUGCCCAUGAUAAGUGGAUCUGAUGCCACGUGUACAAAGCAAAGAAAAUGUGAAUGAAUUCUAGAAGAGGCACGACUGCCAUGUGCUGAAAGGCUGAAAGGUGUGGACAACAAAGAUAUGGGGUGCAACUAGCAGCUUGGGGCUUCACUUGGACAGUUUUACCCCUUGCCUUGGGUCUCUAGAUUCCAUUUAAAAUGAAGGAGAAGGACUUGUCCUUCUUCUUGGGUUGGUUUGAUGGACUUUAUUUAUUGGGCUUGGGCCCCGCGUAUCAACCCAGCCUCAUUAUAAGCCUUGGAAAAGUCCUUGUGAUGAUAUUUGCAUGUGAGAAUGUUGAUUGUUUUAGAUGAAGGGCAAUUUUGUGUUAUGUGACAUGUGAAUAGUUGAGAGUGGAGUGACCUCCUAAACACUUGAUUAAGUGAGUGAAACACUUGC
rnacentral:lncRNA from 1 species